GGCAUAAAGGUAAGAAAUUGAUAUUUUUUUUGUACCUGUAAAUGCAAGUGUUGUGUCUAUUUGAGUUUGGGAAGUUUGCCUAGAAUAGAUGGAACAUUGGGUCUACAUUGUUUUACCUACUCGAGUUUGAGUAUGCAGUCCUGCUGACAGUCAACGUUGCUUCUGUAAUGCUCCUUCCUAUUUGUAAUUGUUAAGGCUUCUAUUUCUUACGUAGGCAAUGUUAAUUAUAUUUUCUCAUCUACCACAUGGAAAGGGGAGCUGAAAGAUUGGACUACCACAUCCUGAAGUCACUCAUUUCAGGCAAUUCCAUCCCUCGCCUAGGAUCUGAAGUAACCACCGGAACCAUCUGACAUGUCUUCAUCGAAUAAGAGAAUCAGGCAUCCAUCAGAAAAAGUUUUGUUGGAUCCACAGUACAAGAAGAAAAACUAACCUUCUUCGUGUUGUAGUGAUAUCAGCUUGGAGAAGCAUGAAAUGAUGCUAUCAAGCACUCCUUUUUAGUUUGGCCUUUCUGUCGUCAUUGUGCAGAUCAUUUAACGUGGAGAAGAACAAAAGUAAUGAUAAAGGUUAAGUUUGUCCUUUAGUGGAGAGCACUUUAGAAACAUACUUGAGAACUACUAUAUUCCUACAUCAUACUAUAGUAUCAUUGUAUUUAUGAAUUCUCAGCUGAAUAUGUGAUUAGUUUGAUGUUACACUCA